AUGGAGAGGAAGGAGUUGCAUCGCUUCAAGAUACGCUGCCUGACUACGCCCGUGCUGCUGCGGGCCCUGGCCCAGGCUGAGCGCGCAGGACAUCCUAGUGUCCAGAGCCUCCGCGGCAGUGCAGUGGCAGCCACCUACAAGCAUGUGAACAUGCAGUAACCCGAGAUGGACAUGAGAUCAGUGACCAACCGGGUAGCCUGAACCCUGCUGUGACCUGAGCUCAUUCGAGGUCUGGGCAAGACCCUGACCUACCUGUUCCGGGAGCCCACCGCCAUCAACUACCCAUUUGAGAAGGGCCCGCUGAGCCCACGCUUCUGUCCGGAGAGGAGGGUUGCAUCAUCUGCAAGCUCUGUGAGGCCAUCUGCGGCGCUCCCCCCGCCACCCACCAUUAGCAUCACCAUCGAGGCCGAACCCAAGGGCGACGGCAGCCACCUGACCACCCACUAUGAUAUCGACAUGACCAAGUGCGUCUACUGUGGCUUCUGCCAAGAGGCCUGCCCCUUGGACACCCUCGUGGAGUACCCCAACUUGGAGUUCUUCACGGAGACGCAGGAAGAGCUGCUGUACAGCAAGGAGAAGCUGCUCAAGCAUAGUGACAAGUAGGAAGCGGAGAUCGACACCAACAUCCAGUUCGACUACCUGUACUGGUGA